UACGGAGGGUGCAGGCGUUAUCCGGAUUCACUGGGUUUAAAGGGUGCGUAGGAGGGCAGGUAAGUCAGUGGUGAAAUCCCCAAGCUUAACUUGGGAACUGCCGUUGAUACUAUCUGUCUUGAAUACCGUGGAGAUGAGCGGAAUAUGUCAUGUAGCGGUGAAAUGCUUAGAUAUGACAUAGAACACCAAUUGCGAAGGCAGCUCGUUACACGAAUAUUGACUCUGAGGCACGAAAGCGUGGGGAUCAAACAGG
rnacentral:rRNA from 1 species